GUCGUACGCCUCUUCCUCUGGCCUGCGGGGUGGCCGGGGACAGAAGGUGUGGUCAGUAGAAGUUCCUCCCCAGCUCUGCGAGGAUCCAAAAGCUAAGCAUCUAUGGAUUCUUCUCAUCAUGCUGAUUUUUGACCUCGACUUGGAAGGAAAGCUAACAGCAAACCAGGACAGAUAAAAGAAGAGAACCAAGCCAACAUAUUAAAGAAGCAAGCUGAGCAAAGCAAGUGCGAGAAGGAACAGCAGAAGGGAGAGGUGAGCAACCCGGCUAUCAGCAGUGGCCAUUUCCAGUGUAGAUAAUGAAUCAUCUCAUGUGUAAUAUUUGCUGAUAAGAUUAAUUGAAUGUGUUAA
rnacentral:antisense_RNA from 1 species